rnacentral:rRNA from 1 species
AGAGUUUGAUCCUGGCUCAGGGUGAACGCUGGCGGCGUGCUUAACACAUGCAAGUCGCGCGGGGAAACCCCUUUGGGGGGAGUACCAGCGGCGCACGGGUGAGUAACACGUGGGUAACCUACCCCUCAGCGGGGGAUAACCGGGGGAAACUCCGGCUAAUACCCCAUAUUAUCCGGUGACGACAGUUGCUGGAUGAAAGGAGCGUUUGCUUCGUUGAGGGAUGGGCCCGCGGCCCAUCAGGUAGUUGGUGAGGUAAUGGCUCACCAAGCCUACGACGGGUAGCCGACCUGAGAGGGUGACCGGCCACAAGGGCACUGAGACACGGGCCCUACUCCUACGGGAGGCAGCAGUGGGGAAUUUUGGACAAUGGGCGAAAGCCUGAUCCAGCGACGCCGCGUGAGGGACGAAGCCCUUCGGGGUGUAAACCUCUGUUGUGAGGGACGAAUAAGAUCUGGAGGAAAUGCCAGAUCGAUGACGGUACCUCACGAGAAAGCCCCGGCUAACUACGUGCCAGCCGCCGCGGUAAUACA